rfam:Gossypium raimondii chromosome 2, whole genome shotgun sequence.
AAUCCAUGGUGAGGGCACUGUCUCAAUAAGUCUUUAUACCUCUCCCAUGCAUCAUAUAACAUUUCAAAAUUGAUUUGCACAAAGGAAGAGAUGUCGUUCCUUAACUU